GUGGCGCUACGGCAGUAUUUGUUUGGUCGACACACCACGUUGGUUGUAGUGAAUGCUCUUUGCAGUAAGGUGGUAUUUGAGUUAUAUUUUAGAAGUGCCUAGACAAAAUGUGCUCCUUGUCGUGUGCAGUAACCAUCCCAAACCCUUCGGACUCGUGUAACGCCAUUAGUUCGCCGUGUAUUUCGAGCGAUCCACCAGUGUCGACAGUGAGUGCCCUAGUACAGCGCCCGUCCGAGCUGCCUUUGUUCUGCCGAGCUGCCUGCCCGCGCUCUCGUGAAAACGUCUGGUACUGGGGCUUCGAAUCGUAGUGUAUGGAAGACUGUUGAAGGUUGUGCUUUUGUGGAGCUGGAGUUCAUCGGAAGCUCUACAGUGCUUGCGCCAGAGAAACGUCGGUGCCUCUGUACCUGUUAGACGAAGGAGCGUUUGCCAAGUCUUGAAAGGUAGACAUCGGUGACGGUGUAUAUGUUGAAAAGGGCCUGCUGAAGAGGCUGUGCCUGGAUGCUAACAACUCAGGCUUUCACUUUGCGGAGGGCCUCCUUAAAACUCCUUUUUCAAUAGAAGACGUUGAAGGGAGGUCCUUCUUUGGGCGGCUGUCAAAUGCCUUCCACAGAAGGAUCCGUUGGAUUCCAAGGUCAACACCAUACUAGACUACACAACGCAACAUUUCAGCCUACUUCCAGGGCAGCUGGAGAACUCGUCCUCAUUACUAGCCCGGGGAUAUUAAAUGGAUGUGUUCAAGCACAAAUUUAAACCUGUCUUCUUUUGUUGCAUGCCACACCGAGCCACUUGGC